GAGAAAACAUGAACUUUCUUUAUCAAGAGAAUCCAUUGUUUUUGUCAAACCACUGGAAAAUGUCUUGGCAGAAAAUGUGGGAAUGAAAGAUUGCACCAUAACUUCUACAAUGUGCUGUAGUGGUUAAUUAAGGGCAGGAAUUAAAAUACAUUCUGGUGGGUUCACUAAUUCUCUCACACUGUUAAAACUAAACAUUGUCUUAAUAUUGGCAGCUAUGUGCAGCAGAACGUGUUACUAUGAUAAAGCUACAGUUUAUUCUUAUUUAAAACUACAUUUUGUUCCCCCUCUUUAAUUAUUUCAGUGACCCUCAUUGAUAAGUGAGCAGUUUCUUUCUCUCCAUCCGAUGAUCCAUGUCAAAUCUUCCCAGCGUUAUGUUGCUGUUUUCAGAAAAUAGCAGGCUCCGGGAAAAACAAAUUAGUGGAUACUACUGGGAGCACUCUUAAAUAGAACUGUGUGUCGAGACG